rnacentral:rRNA from 1 species
AGUGAACGUUGGCGGCGUGGAUUAGGCAUGCAAGUCGAGCGAUCGUAGCAAUACGGGAGCGGCAAACGGGGUAGGAAUACAUCGGAACGUACCUUUUGGUUGAGAAUAGCGUUGGGAAACUGACGGUAAUACUCAAUAAAGUCGAGAGACCAAAGGUUUACUGCCGGAAGAGCGGCCGAUGCGAUAUUAGGUAGUUGGUGGGGUAAUGGCCUACCAAGCCUGAGAUGUCUAGGGGGUGUGAGAGCAUGGCCCCACCACUGGGACUGAGAUACUGCCCAGACACCUACGGGUGGCUGCAGUCGAGGAUCUUCGUCAAUGGGCGAAAGCCUGAACGAGCGACGCCGCGUGCGGGAUGAAGGCCCUUGGGUUGUAAACCGCUGUCAGGGGGAUGAACCGUAAGGUUGACAGAGCCCCAGAGGAAGCACGGGCUAAGUUCGUGCCAGCAGCCGCGGUAAU